UACGGAGGGUGCGAGCGUUGUCCGGAAUUACUGGGCGUAAAGCGUGCGCAGGCGGCGCCGCAAGUCAGGCGUGAAAUCCCCGAGCUUAACUUGGGAAUGGCGCUUGAAACUACGGUGCUGGAGUGUGGCAGAGGGAGGUGGAAUUCCACGUGUAGCGGUGAAAUGCGUAGAGAUGUGGAGGAACACCGAUGGCGAAGGCAGCCUCCUGGGCCAACACUGACGCUCAUGCACGAAAGCGUGGGGAGCAAACAGG
rnacentral:rRNA from 1 species